GAAAAACCGGGAAGAUACCAUCAGAGGGAAGGAAAGAAUGAAAGGAAUAGUGAUGCUUCUUUGGAAAAGUUAUUCCAAUUUUAGCACUCUGCUCAAUAUGAUGAAGAUGCGGUUCCUAUCCUUUUUUCCUUUUCAUUACGUGAUCAGUUUCAAGGUUCCUAUCUUAAGAUGCCAGGAUGUGACCUGCCAUUCAAAUCGCCUCAGGUCAGGGUGGAACUUCUCUACAUCUAAUUGUUGGACUUGGUGUGGUGUCACGUGUAACAGGUCGGAAAGGAAAAGAGCACUUUGAAUCUUUUGAAGUUCUGGAGCAGCUGAGAAUCCUUAUUCCACUGGUAUUGUUUCAUUUGCAGAGUCUGGAGGUGCUUAGACUGAGCAACAAUGAUUUUGUUGGUUCAUACCAGGAGGUAGCUAUUUACUCCUCAAUCAGGUAUUUUGACAUUUCAAUUAACAGUUUUGAUUGAUCCAACAUUUUGCGAGCAUCCAUUUCAGUGGUGAAGUUUCACCAAGUUUUUGAAGAUGUUCUUCUUUGGUGCAUCUCUUUCCUAAUGGCAAUAAUCAAGGAAGAUGCAAUAUUUCCGUAUAUUGCAUUUUUGAGAUAAUGGCAAUGCAAGAUGGAACAGGUAACCUUUCUAAUCUUGUAGAAUUGAAUGUGUCCUACGAUAUGUUUUCUGGAAAUCUUCCUCAUGCUUUUGGUGCGCUUAGAAAGCUUGAAUUCUUAUCUUCUAAUUUAAAUAAAUUCAACAGCCAUUUUCCUAAUUCACCGGUGAACUCCAACUCUUCAAAUUCUUAAUUUGUGCAACAACACGGUAUCAAUAUCAAUUGUCCUGCAAUGAUUCAUCUGGCUUCCUCGAUAUUGGAUCCAAUCAUUUCUUUGACCCUGUCCCUGAAAGUAUAUCCUCUUGUCAAAGCUUGAGUAUUUUUUGAAUCUUAGCAAAAAACGAACUUGGUGAUCGGUUCCUUACAACUUCAAGAAUCU
rnacentral:misc_RNA from 1 species